ACUGGCUGGUCGCUGCUCGCCCAAUUCCCACUGCUCACACAGCUUCCUUGUGGAUCCAUUCAUCCCCAUGCAUCUCCGUAGUUGGAAUUGCAUCAUAGCCGGUAGUCGCUGCUACAUCCUAGCACUUAUUGUGCCCUCUGCUAUGCGAACCUACUGAGACUUAGCUAACAACGAGACGGGGAACUGCUGCUGUGUGACCGCUGCUGCUUUGUCUUCACGAAGCGUGAUCGCUCAUCUGUGUUUGUAGGCCUAACCGUGUGACCGCUAACGUUUGUCUCGACUUUGUCAUAUUACGUGUCAUUCUUGUCAAUUCUGUGUGUACAUGGUUUUGGUUUAUUACUCUACUGUUUUGAUUUGCUUUACCACUGGCAGGAGGCCAUUUCCCCUGCGCUGCUGAUAACCAGUGUCCCAACAUCUCUUACUUUGUAAUGUAUCUCUGGUUUUCUAGCUUUCUUCUUAUGAUUUGAUUAGCCACUGAUAGGAGGCUGCUAUUCCAUCUGUGCUGUGGAUUACCAGUGUGCUAGUAUUUAUUAUUUCUGGGGAAUUUCUACUUUAGUUUUUGUUUGUUUGUUUGUUUGUUUGUUUGUUUGUUGCACUGGCAGGAGGCCAUUUGUCCAGCUGCUGAGAGCCCGUGUCUUACCCGUAAUUGUGAUUCUUUAUGUGGUUGAUUAACCGGUGUGGCUCCCACUAAUUGUCCUCCCCCUGUCCUGCGUCUUUUCUAGGAGCUGAGGCCUACGGUGGAGGGGCUGCUGUCUUCCUGGUGGUGUCCCCUUUUUGGUGUGCUACUAUUAUACCUCACGGGUUGCUGAUUUGACCUUUGCUGUGUGUGUGUGUGUGCGAAUACUGUACGUGGACACUCUUGCAGUGGUGUGACCUCUCCUGGGACGCCUCUCUCCUUAGUUAGCCAGUCCCCUCGCUGGUAAGCCUCAGUUCCUGCUGUCUGUCUCCCCUUGGUAUGUCUGAUGUGCUUGAGGCAAUGUGAGCGUAAUUUUAGAUUUUGUUAAUAAAUUAUUGUCAUUUUACUGGAAUGGAA